GACGAACGCUGGCGGCGUGCUUAACACAUGCAAGUCGAACGGAAAGGCCCUGCUUGCAGGGUACUCGAGUGGCGAACGGGUGAGUAGCACGUGGGUGAUCUGCCCUGCACUUCGGGAUAAGCCUGGGAAACUGGGUCUAAUACCGGAUAUGACCUUCCAUGUAGUGUGGGGGGUGGAAAGAUUUAUCGGUGUGGGAUGAGCCCGCGGCCUAUCAGCUUGUUGGUGGGGUAAUGGCCUACCAAGGCGUCGACGGGUAGCCGGCCUGAGAGGGUGGACGGCCACAUUGGGACUGAGAUACGGCCCAGACUCCUACGGGAGGCAGCAGUGGGGAAUAUUGCACAAUGGGCGGAAGCCUUAUGCAGCGACGCCGCGUGGGGGAUGACGGCCUUCGGGUUGUAAACCUCUUUCGACAGGGACGAAGCUUCGGUGGCGGUACCUGUAUAAGAAGCACCGGCUAACUACGUG
rnacentral:rRNA from 1 species